UACGGGGGGGGGCAAGCGUUGUUCGGAAUUACUGGGCGUAAAGGGCUCGUAGGCGGCCAACUAAGUCGGAUGUGAAAUCCCCAGGCUUAAUCUGGGAACUGCAUCCGAUACUGGAGGGCUUGAAUUCGGGAGAGGGAUGCAGAAUUCCAGGUGUAGCGGUGAAAUGCGUAGAGAUCAGGAAGAACACCGGUGGCGAAAGCGUUCUGCUAGACCUGUACUGACACUGAGGCGCGAAAGCCAGGGGAGCGAACGGG
rnacentral:rRNA from 1 species